rnacentral:lncRNA from 1 species
CUAAGAGGCCACUGGAGAGAAGAGGAACAAACACAUGCAAAUAUGGCCUUGCAUAUGACUUAGCUCCUGAAAGGACACAAUUCUAAUUCACCCACUGUGAAAAAAAGGACUCCUCUAAGAAAAAAGUGUUCUCAAAAGACGAAAUAAGCUGCAACUUUCCAGCUUUGUUCUGGGACCCUCUCCAAGCAGUACAAGAGGAGGACAGUGCGGAAGUCCACCUUACAGCCUACAGAUUAGCAAUGAUGCUCCACCUGACAGCUUCUUGUUUUGUAUGCUUUGGAGUUUCCAAACAUUUAGACGAAUUCAGAAAUUGAUCAGAA